GCUUUUUAUCUUUUCUGGCCUUUUUUCACGACUCUUUUGUUUCCCAUCUUAUUUCUUCUACAACCUUUCGCCUUUCCUAGACCCAUAAGGGGAGUAAGUAAACUGGGGGCCUAAAGUAAAUGGGGUAGGCUGUCGGCUGCUUGGUUCAUCGAGCUCACAAAACUAACCCGCGUCGUCGCACAUCACCAUCGCCCACCCUGUCAUCGUGCCUGAGGUACCCGGGUUCAUUCCACUGACCUGUCACGUACCUUGUGUGUGUGUGUGUUCCCAGAUUGGUAGUGUGAGCCGGACCCGAGGGCAGCCACGGCAAAGCCAAGGGCCGGACACCAACAACACCCUUAGGCUCCUCGCAGCUUGCGCAGGCGCUCGCAGCUGCACCUCGCCAGCCUGCUCCUGCCUCUGCUCCGCCGCCAGCAAGUGCACCAGAGCUAGCAGCGCUGAUGACUCCCUGUGAUCCCGCGAGUGUGCCAUCACGUACCGCUCGUCUCCUAUUUAUUAAUAAUUGUAAUUUACUUUUGACGUUAUUUUAUCGGCCAUGAUUGUCCUCAGACGACGUUAUUAUUUAUUUUAAUUAUUAUUAUUUAUUGCAUGCGAGGAAGGGUGACGGGCACCCUCCCCAUCUGGCUGUGUUCUGUAAAGUAUGCAAUAAACGCUUCCUGUUCCA